UCGCCUAACCUCGACCACGGACUCCCUUAGAUCCCUAUCUACCAAGAUGCCCACUCCAUUCUACCUCUCACGACCCCAGAAUACCACAGCUUAAACCCGUCUACAUUCCUCGCUUCGACCCUUUCCACCUAGUCUCCUAGACACAUGCUAUGUUAACCCUUUCUUCUGAAGAACCUUCGCCAACUCAAUGGACUUACCCGUCAGAGUGCCUAUGUUCCAUGAC
rnacentral:lncRNA from 1 species